UACGUAGGGUGCGAGCGUUAAUCGGAAUUACUGGGCGUAAAGCGUGCGUAGGUGGUUCGUUGUGUCUGUGGUGAAAGCCCCGGGCUUAACCUGGGAACGGCCAUGGAAACUGGCGAGCUGGAGUGUGGCAGAGGGGGGUGGAAUUCCGCGUGUAGCAGUGAAAUGCGUAGAUAUUCGGAGGAACACCAGUGGCGAAGGCGGCUCACUGGCUCGGUACUGACGCUGAGGUGCGAAAGCGUGGGGAGCGAUCCGG
rnacentral:rRNA from 1 species